rnacentral:rRNA from 1 species
GAUGAACGCUGGCGGCGUGCCUAAUACAUGCAAGUCGAGCGAACGGACGAGAAGCUUGCUUCUCUGAUGUUAGCGGCGGACGGGUGAGUAACACGUGGAUAACCUACCUAUAAGACUGGGAUAACUUCGGGAAACCGGAGCUAAUACCGGAUAAUAUUUUGAACCGCAUGGUUCAAAAGUGAAAGACGGUCUUGCUGUCACUUAUAGAUGGAUCCGCGCUGCAUUAGCUAGUUGGUAAGGUAACGGCUUACCAAGGCAACGAUGCAUAGCCGACCUGAGAGGGUGAUCGGCCACACUGGAACUGAGACACGGUCCAGACUCCUACGGGAGGCAGCAGUAGGGAAUCUUCCGCAAUGGGCGAAAGCCUGACGGAGCAACGCCGCGUGAGUGAUGAAGGUCUUCGGAUCGUAAAACUCUGUUAUUAGGGAAGAACAUAUGUGUAAGUAACUGUGCACAUCUUGACGGUACCUGAUCAGAAAGCCACGGCUAACUACGUGCCAGCAGCCGCGGUAAUACGUAGGUGGCAAGCGUUAUCCGGAAUUAUUGGGCGUAAAGCGCGCGUAGGCGGUUUUUUAAGUCUGAUGUGAAAGCCCACGGCUCAACCGUGGAGGGUCAUUGGAAACUGGAAAACUUGAGUGCAGAAGAGGAAAGUGGAAUUCCAUGUGUAGCGGUGAAAUGCGCAGAGAUAUGGAGGAACACCAGUGGCGAAGGCGACUUUCUGGUCUGUAACUGACGCUGAUGUGCGAAAGCGUGGGGAUCAAACAGGAUUAGAUACCCUGGUAGUCCACGCCGUAAACGAUGAGUGCUAAGUGUUAGGGGGUUUCCGCCCCUUAGUGCUGCAGCUAACGCAUUAAGCACUCCGCCUGGGGAGUACGACCGCAAGGUUGAAACUCAGAGGAAUUGACGGGGACCCGCACAAGCGGUGGAGCAUGUGGUUUAAUUCGAAGCAACGCGAAGAACCUUACCAAAUCUUGACAUCCUUUGACAACUCUAGAGAUAGAGCUUUCCCCUUCGGGGGACAAAGUGACAGGUGGUGCAUGGUUGUCGUCAGCUCGUGUCGUGAGAUGUUGGGUUAAGUCCCGCAACGAGCGCAACCCUUAAGCUUAGUUGCCAUCAUUAAGUUGGGCACUCUAAGUUGACUGCCGGUGACAAACCGGAGGAAGGUGGGGAUGACGUCAAAUCAUCAUGCCCCUUAUGAUUUGGGCUACACACGUGCUACAAUGGACAAUACAAAGGGCAGCGAAACCGCGAGGUCAAGCAAAUCCCAUAAAGUUGUUCUCAGUUCGGAUUGUAGUCUGCAACUCGACUACAUGAAGCUGGAAUCGCUAGUAAUCGUAGAUCAGCAUGCUACGGUGAAUACGUUCCCGGGUCU